CAAUAGCGUAUAUUUAAGUUGUUGCAGUUAAAAAGCUCGUAGUCGGAUUUUGGCUGAGAACGAACGGUCCGCCGUUAGGUAUGCACUGUUUGGUCUCAGCUUCCUGGUGAGGAGGUGUGCUUCACGGCCACUUAGUCACCGUGGUUACUUUGAAAAAAUUAGAGUGUUCAAAGCGGGCUUACGCUUGAAUAUAUUAGCAUGGAAUAACACCAUAGGACUCCUGUCCUAUUUCGUUGGUCUCGGGACGGGAGUAAUGAUUAAGAGGAACAGUUGGGGGCAUUCGUAUUUCAUUGUCAGAGGUGAAAUUCUUGGAUUUAUGAAAGACGAACUUCUGCGAAAGCAUUUGCCAAGGAUGUUUUCAUUGA
rnacentral:rRNA from 1 species